AGCAGACUGAUCUCAUGGAGUGGCGUAUGCAUGACACGCCAAUUUGUAUGCCAUUAUUGGCGUAUUAUCAAGAUGCAUACUCGCUUAUUAGCGUGUUUAUCAACGCCGUAUGGCCUCCAUUGACUUACAUUACCUUGCGAUAGCGUGUGAAGUGACGCCAUAGCGAGUAGUAUGAAAGGGCGAAAAUCCGCAUUUGUUGCUUUCC